rnacentral:rRNA from 1 species
UACGUAGGGGGCAAGCGUUGUCCGGAUUUAUUGGGCGUAAAGAGCGUGUAGGCGGCUAGGUAGGUCCGUUGUGAAAACUCGAGGCUCAACCUCGAGACGUCGAUGGAAACCAUCUAGCUAGAGUCCGGAAGAGGAGAGUGGAAUUCCUGGUGUAGCGGUGAAAUGCGCAGAUAUCAGGAAGAACACCCGUGGCGAAGGCGGCUCUCUGGGCCGGAACUGACGCUAAGGAGCGAAAGCGUGGGGAGCGAACAGG